rnacentral:rRNA from 1 species
AACGUCGUGAUUGUAUCAAGCUUAGAGUUUGAUCCUGGCUCAGGAUGAACGCUAGCGGCAGGCCUAACACAUGCAAGUCGAGGGGUAUAGAGAGCUUGCUUUCUAGAGACCGGCGGAUGGGUGAGUAACGCGUAUGCAACCUACCUUUUACAGGGGAAUAGCCCGGAGAAAUUCGGAUUAAUGCUCCAUGGUUUAUAUGAACGGCAUCGUUUGUAUAAUAAAGAUUUAUCGGUAAAAGAUGGGCAUGCGUAUCAUUAGCUAGUUGGUGUGGUAACGGCAUACCAAGGCUACGAUGAUUAGGGGUCCUGAGAGGGAGAUCCCCCACACUGGUACUGAGACACGGACCAGACUCCUACGGGAGGCAGCAGUGAGGAAUAUUGGUCAAUGGAGGCAACUCUGAACCAGCCAUGCCGCGUGCAGGAUGACGGUCCUAUGGAUUGUAAACUGCUUUUGUACGGGAAGAAAUGUAAUUACGUGUAAUUAUUUGACGGUACCGUAAGAAUAAGGAUCGGCUAACUCCGUGCCAGCAGCCGCGGUAAUACGGAGGAUCCGAGCGUUAUCCGGAAUUAUUGGGUUUAAAGGGUUCGUAGGCGGUUGAGUAAGUCAGUGGUGAAAUCUUAUAGCUUAACUAUAAAAUUGCCGUUGAUACUGCUUGACUUGAAUAGUAUGGAAGUAAUUAGAAUAUGUAGUGUAGCGGUGAAAUGCUUAGAUAUUACAUGGAAUACCAAUUGCGAAGGCAGAUUACUACGUACUUAUUGACGCUGAUGAACGAAAGCGUGGGUAGCGAACAGGAUUAGAUACCCUGGUAGUCCACGCCGUAAACGAUGGAUACUAGCUGUUCGGUUUUCGGACUGAGUGGCUAAGCGAAAGUGAUAAGUAUCCCACCUGGGGAGUACGUUCGCAAGAAUGAAACUCAAAGGAAUUGACGGGGCCCGCACAAGCGGUGGAGCAUGUGGUUUAUUCGAUGAUACGCGAGGAACCUUACCAAGGCUUAAAUGUAGAUUGACAGGUUUAGAGAAAGACUUUUCUUCGGACAAUUUACAAGUGU